CGGGAUAGCUCAGCUGGUAAAGCAGAGGACUGAAAA
rnacentral:tRNA from 1 species